rnacentral:rRNA from 1 species
AGAACGAACGCUGGCGGCAUGCCUAAUACAUGCAAGUCGAACGAACUCUUCGGAGUUAGUGGCGCACGGGUGCGUAACGCGUGGGAAUCUGCCCCUUGGUUCGGAAUAACAGUUGGAAACGACUGCUAAUACCGGAUGAUGACGAAAGUCCAAAGAUUUAUCGCCAAGGGAUGAGCCCGCGUAGGAUUAGCUAGUUGGUGAGGUAAAGGCUCACCAAGGCAACGAUCCUUAGCUGGUCUGAGAGGAUGAUCAGCCACACUGGGACUGAGACACGGCCCAGACUCCUACGGGAGGCAGCAGUAGGAAUAUUGGACAA